rnacentral:rRNA from 1 species
AUUGAACGCUGGCGGCAGGCCUAACACAUGCAAGUCGAGCGAGAGGCGGACGGGUGAGUAAUAUCUGGGAAACUGCCUGAUGGAGGGGGAUCACUACUGUAAACGGUAGCUAAUACCGCAUACCAUCAGAUGUGCCCCGAUGGGAGUAGCUGGUGGGUGGGGUAACGGCGCACCUAGGCGACGAUCCCUAGCUGGUCUGAGAGGAUGACCAGCCACACUGGAACUGAGACACGGUCCAGACUCUUACGGGAGGCAGCAGUGGGUAAUAUUGCACAAUGGGCGCAAGCCGGAUGCAGCCAUGCCGCGUGUGUGAAGAAGGCCUUCGGGUUGUAAAGCACUUUCAGCGGGGAGGCGUUACCCGCAGAAGAAGCACCGGCUAACUCCGUGCCAGCAGCCGCGGUAAUAC